rnacentral:rRNA from 1 species
AGUUAAUUAAAGGGGUUAUUAAGGAAAACUAAGGCAAAUUUAUAUAUAUAAGGAGGGUCUAACCCAAAAGCUUACAAAAAUCAUAAGGUUUUAAAUACAUUUAAGCGAUCCUAAGGUAAACCUUAUUAAUUAAUUACUUCCUGAAGUAAAACAUUUCAGUAGGGAAAGGAAAGGAAAUCAACCGAGACUCCGAGAGUAAUGGUGAGUGAAAUCGGACUAGCCUAAAAAUUGUACUAUAAAUUGAAGUCUGAAAAAGGUCAAAAACUAUAAGUCCUGUAGGUUUAUGGUACAAUAAUAUAAACAAAUUUUAUCUAAUUUAAGCUCAAAGGUUACUUAGUUAUAUUACUAAAUAGUAAAAUUAGACUUAAUAAUUAAGAAGAUAAAAUGUUAAGUACGAUGAGAGAUAACUUGUCGGAAUAAAGGGGAACCAUCCUCUAAGGCUAAGUAUUAUAAAUUUAGCGAUAGUGAAAAAGUACUGUGAAGGAAAAGUAUGAAAAGCGAGUAGUAUACACAAAAAUAAGUUUAUAAUUAAGUUAUAAAUGAAUUGGUGAAAUAGAUCAUGAAUUAGUAACUCUAUAAGCAGUCGGAAUUCUUUUAAAAUAAGGAUGACGGCGUACCUUUUGCAUAAUGGGUCAGCAACUUAAUAGCAUGUAGCAAGGUUAAAAGCCUUAGCGAAAGCGACUGGAUAUAAAUAGAUAUUCCUAUAUAGGAGAUGUCGAAAACAAUGAUGGAUAAGUUACUGCUAUUAGACCCGAAGCCAGGUGAUCUUACUUAGACCAGAUUAUAAUGGAUCGAACGGGUGAAUGUUGCAUAAUUCUCCGAUGAGUUUAAGUAAGCGGUGAAAUGCCAAUCUGACCUGGUGCUAGCUGGUUUUCUACGAAACAUAUUUAAGUAUGACAUCUACCAACCCUAUAUAAUGUAGGGGAGUUUUAAUCUUUAAUUUAGAUAAAAAAACUUACAGAUUUAUGGAGGUACAGCAAGGCAAUUCCCAACAAGUAAAUUUAUUUUAAAAUUUAUGCGUUUAGGUUGCGGGGACCUCGAAAAUCUUACCUUUGGAAGCGAAUCUCGGAAUUACAUAAAUUGGUGGUAGAUAUUCAGACUGCUCAAGCUAAGUUGGGCAGUCAAGACGGAAACAGCCGAGAACACUGAUCAAGGUCCCAAAUGAUUGUUAAGUGAAAUUAAGGACGUAUGACUAUCGUAUACAGCUGUGAAGUGAGCCUGGCAGUCGCUACUUAUAAUGAACGUUUGUAACAACGCAUCAGCAGUCCUGCAUUUGCAGCCUUUGCUUUAUAAAAGGAUGCUGCAUUAGCAGCUGCAAAGGUAAAAUAGAUACUAGCGCCGAAAAUUUAACGGGUCUUAAACAAUCAACCGAUAUCGUGUUGGUUAGCUUUAAUAUAAAUUAUAUUAGAGUUAAUCUAGGUAGUAGAACAUUCAGUCAAACUAAUGAUAAUACAGUGUUUCAUUGUAUUUUAGGUUACUGAAGAGAUAAUGCUGACAUGAGUAACGUAAAAAGAAGUUAUAAUACUUCUCGCCGAAUACGAAAGGGUUUCAAAUACGAAAGGUUAAUCCAUUUUGAUUUAAUGCGGCCUCUAAGGAUAAUAGCUAACGCUAUGACUGAUGAGUAUAAAAUAGAAAGUCUAAUUACUAAAUAACUAGACCAGGAAAUUAAUAUUUUAUUACUACCGUACCCUAAACCGACACAGGUUCGUAGGUAGAGUAUACUAAGGCGUAGAGCUAAAAGUUGUUAAGGAACUCGGCAAGUUCACCUCAUAAGUUUGACGAUAAGAGGUACCGUAUAAAUUUAAAUCUAAAUUAGAACGGUGGCACAGAAUCGGAGGCCCCGACUGUUUACUAAAAACACAUCACAGUGCAAUCAUUAAUAUGAUAGUAUACUGUGUGAAAUUUGCCCGAUGCCAUUAAUAUAAGAACGGUCAUUUUAUAAGUGACUUAUCGAAAAUCUGGUUAAUAGCGGUCUUAACUAUGAGGAUCCUAAGGUAGCAAAAUCAGUUGGCCAUUAAAUGUGGUCCGGUAUCAAUAAUGUAACGAUGGUCUCACUGUCUCUACAACUUGCUCAGUGAAAUUGAAUUACGCGUGCAGAUGCGCGUUACCUCCAGGGGGACGGGAAGACCCUAUGCAGCUUUACUGUAGUUAGUUAUCAUGUGAAUCUAGAACAAUCUUAACUCAGAGAGAAUAGGGUAGUCGAAAUAACUUCUAGGUUCUAGAGGUUAGACAAAUAUUGGGAACCUUACAGUUAGGAUUGGGUUUACAUUUACCUUAAUUAAGAAAAAAAAAGGGAUAGUUGACUAAUUGGCAGUUUGACUGGGGCGGUCGUCUUUAAUAGAGUAGCAAAGUACAUCCAAAUAUUUUUUUUAUUUUACUUUAUAGAUUAAAUAGUCUACUAAAGCUAACAAAAAUAAUCUUCUAUUAACUUAUUAAAGUAAAUUAUGCUGAUAAUGGUAUUUAGAAUCGGCCGCUAGUUUUCUAGGGGCUUAAAUUUAACUAUAAAUUUUAUAAGGUAUAGCUAGAAAUUGAAUGGAGAUCAAUCAACCGGUGAAGGGUUGCGCAGAGUUCAAUGGCGGUAAGCAUGCUUAACUGAAAGACUCAAAAGUCGCACAGAUACGUAAGUAGGGCAUAGUGACCCCUCGCUAUAGUAUGGGAUAGACGAGGAUCAAUUGAUAAAAGUUACGCUAGGGAUAACAGGCUGAUAGCCGACGAGAGUACACAUUGUCUCGGCUGUUUGGCACCUUGAUACACAUAACUUAAACUAUUAAGGAAGUAUCUCACAAAAUUUGUUUCAAAGAUAGAAUAGCACUGCAAACGUAAGGGUUGCGGGAGGCAAAGCGCUGUAGCUACAUAAAUAGAUUUAAGUUAAGACUUCGGGGAUUUUUAAUAGCGAUAUUAAAUUAGAAGUUGGCUAUUUGCUGGAACAUCCUUAGAGCUUUAAAUACUUAUUCUUUUUAUUAUUCUCCCCACCCCAUAGAUAAGAAGUAGGACUGAUAGAAAUUAUAAUAAGUGAAAAUUUUAAAGAUUGGACAAUCAGCAGGGAAGUUUUUAAUAUAAUUUGGUGUAAGCAACUGUAAAAAAAAUAUUUUAACCCCUCAACGACUACACGCCAAUAUCCAGUUGCUUUGUAAAUGUAUUCUUACACUGGAUAAAGAUAUAGUCUAAACUUGACUGAAAAGUUAAGAAAAUUAUUUAACUGCCACAGGCUGGUAUUAAGUAAUUAUUGCGAUGUCGACUCAUCCUAUCCUCCGGGGGAAGAAGCUUGGAAGGGUUCGGCUGUUCGCCGAUUAAAAGGGUACGUGAGUUGGGUUUAAUACGACGUGAGUCAGUAUGGUCCCUAUCUUCUGGAGGGACAAUUAGUAAAAAGGGGCAGACCUUCCAGUACGAAAGGACCAAUAGGCUGUGUUUCUCUAGUGUACCAAUUGUUUUUAAUUGUAAUAGUUAGUUCGAUUUAAUAAGAAUAUAAUGAAUGCAUAGUUGGGUAGCCACAAACAUAAUAGAUAAGUGCUGAAUGUCUAUCAAGCAAGAAUCUAACCCCUAGAUACUAAAUGGUUUAUUAAUUAAACCUUAAUUGAGAAAUAGAACAUUUCUAGAUAGGCUGCAAAUGAAAGUACUGUAAAGUAUUUAGUUUAGCAGUACUAAUUUAUAAAAAAACUGA